rnacentral:snoRNA from 1 species
AAAACUACACUUUGAGGAAUCCUUUCUUCAAUUCAUUGCUAGAGGUUUCUCUUAAUGCGUAGAGCAUGAGAAACCACCGGGAGGAGACCCAGUCUGCUCUCUCUGGAACAUGAAGCCAGCCCUUGGUGUUGCUUGGCUACAACUGCCCUUCAUCAUUGACAACUGUUCUCUUCCUCAGGAAAAGUGAGAGGGAAAGAAGGAAGUCUGCAUGGU